rnacentral:rRNA from 1 species
UGUGAGCCAGGUUGGUUUCUAUCUUUUUUUAAAUUAAAUAUUUUAGUACGAAAGGAUCAAGUAUUUUAAUUAAAUUAAUUUAAUGGAUUAUCAUUAAGUAAGAAAUAUAAAUAAUUUAUUUUAUUUAAAAGUUUAAAAUUUAUUAAUUUUAA